rnacentral:rRNA from 3 species
GGGUUGUGAGGUUAAGCGACUAAGCGUACACGGUGGAUGCCCUGGCAGUCAGAGGCGAUGAAGGACGUGCUAAUCUGCGAUAAGCGCCGGUAAGGUGAUAUGAACCGUUAUAACCGGCGAUUUCCGAAUGGGGAAACCCAGUGUGACUCGUCACACUAUCAUUAACUGAAUCCAUAGGUUAAUGAGGCGAACCGGGGGAACUGAAACAUCUAAGUACCCCGAGGAAAAGAAAUCAACCGAGAUUCCCCCAGUAGCGGCGAGCGAACGGGGAGGAGCCCAGAGCCUGAAUCAGCA